GAUGAAGAACGCAGCGAAAUGCGAAAAGUAAUGUGAAUUGCAGAAUUCAGUGAAUCAUCGAAUCUUUGAACGCACAUUGCGCCCGCCAGUAUUCUGGUGGGCAUGCCUGUUCGAGCGUCAUUUCAACCAUCAAGCCCCCGGCUUGUGUUGGGGACCUGCGGCUGCCGCAGGCCCUGAAAACCAGUGGCGGGCUCGCUAGUCACUCCGAGCGUAGUAAUACAUCUCGCUCAGGGCGUGCUGCGGGUUCCGGCCGUUAAAAAGCCUUAUUUACCCAAGGUUGACCUCGGAUCAGGUAGGAAGACCCGCUGAACUUAAGCAUAUCAAUAAGCGGAGGA
rnacentral:misc_RNA from 1 species